rnacentral:rRNA from 1 species
GGGUUCUAUUCCCAAACCGUGUAUACAUUCCUUUGUUGCUUUGGCAGGCCGCCUUUUAGGCGUUGGCUCCGGCUGACUGCGCCUGCCAGAGGACCCAAACUCUUUUGUUUAGUGAUGUCUGAGUACUAUAUAAUAGUUAAAACUUUCAACAACGGAUCUCUUGGUUCUGGCAUCGAUGAAGAACGCAGCGAAAUGCGAUAAGUAAUGUGAAUUGCAGAAUUCAGUGAAUCAUCGAAUCUUUGAACGCACAUUGCGCCCCUUGGUAUUCCGAGGGGCAUGCCUGUUCGAGCGUCAUUAUAACCACUCAAGCCCUCGGCUUGGUCUUGGGGUUCGCGGUUUCGCGGCCCUUAAAAUCAGUGGCGGUGCCGUCUGGCUCUAAGCGUAGUAAUCCUCUCGCUAUAGGGUCCAGGUAACCACCUGUCAGAACCCCCCAUUCUUUAUGGUUGACCUCGGAUCAGGUAGGGAUACCCGCUGAACUUAAGCAUAUCAAUAAGCGGAGGAAAAGAAACCAACAGGGAUUGCCUCAGUAACGGCGAGUGAAGCGGCAACAGCUCAAAUUUGAAAUCUGGCUCUUUCAGGGUCCGAGUUGUAAUUUGUAGAAGAUGCUUUGGGUGUGGCUCCGGUCUAAGUUCCUUGGAACAGGACGUCAUAGAGGGUGAGAAUCCCGUACGUGACUGGGUGCCUUCGCUCAUGUAAAGCUCUUUCGACGAGUCGAGUUGUUUGGGAAUGCAGCUCAAAAUGGGUGGUAAAUUUCAUCUAAAGCUAAAUAUUGGCCAGAGACCGAUUGCGCACAAGUAGAGUGAUCGAAAGAUGAAAAGCACUUUGGAAAGAGAGUUAAACAGUACGUGAAAUUGUUGAAAGGGAAGCGCUUGCAACCAGACUUGCGCGCUGUUGAUCAUCCGAGCUUUUGCCCGGUGCACUCGGCAGCGCU